UACGGGGGGAGCAAGCGUUGUUCGGAUUUACUGGGCGUAAAGGGCUCGUAGGCGGCCAACUAAGUCAUACGUGAAAUCCCUCGGCUUAACCGGGGAACUGCGUCUGAUACUGGAUGGCUUGAGUUCGGGAGAGGGAUGCGGAAUUCCAGGUGUAGCGGUGAAAUGCGUAGAUAUCUGGAGGAACACCGGUGGCGAAGGCGGCAUCCUGGACCGAUACUGACGCUGAGGAGCGAAAGCCAGGGGAGCAAACGGG
rnacentral:rRNA from 1 species